UAGGCUUGACAUGCUGGCGCCCCGAAGGGGGGACCUGUUUCCAGGUCUUGCACCAGCAUGUCAAGCCUAGGUAAGGUUCUUCGCGUUGCGUCGAAUUAAACCACAUGCUCCACCGCUUGUGCGGGCCCCCGUCAAUUCCUUUGAGUUUCAGCCUUGCGGCCGUACUCCCCAGGCGGGGUACUUAAUGCGUUAGCUGCGGCGCUGAACGUGUCGAAACGCCCAGCACCUAGUACCCAUCGUUUACGGCUAGGACUAC
rnacentral:misc_RNA from 1 species